rnacentral:tRNA from 1 species
GCCACCAUAGCUCAGCGGUUAGGGCACUGGUCUUGUAAGCCAGUGGUCGUGAGUUCAAUUUUCACUGGUGGCU